UGGAGAUAUUUCCAAGGGUUAC
rnacentral:siRNA from 1 species